rnacentral:sRNA from 1 species
GAGCGGACGGUUCCUACUGCGGCUGGGCACCGGCUCCGCUCCCGCGUCUGCCCGCGCUCCAGCUGCGCCUGGCCCGGCCCCGGCCCGGCUCGGCGUGGCCCCAGCCUCCAAGCGAAGGCGCCGCUGCCGCUGGGCCGCUCCCAGGGCCAUGAGGAAGCGGCGGCAGCCACUGCGGCCCGCGUCAAGGUGACCGGCCGGGACUGCGGCGGACUUCUCCAGACAGGUUAUGUUACCUGCAGAGGCUGCCCUGAAGCUCCCUGUGGCCUGGAGACUAUGUACAAGAGGAAUGGUCUGAUGGCUAGCGUGUUGGUCACCUCUGCCACUCCACAGGGCAGCAGCAGCUCGGACUCUCUGGAGGGCCAGAGCUGCGACUAUGCCAGCAAGAGCUAUGAUGCCGUUGUCUUCGAUGUCUUGAAAGUGACCCCAGAGGAGUUUGCUAGCCAGAUUACAUUAAUGGAUAUACCUGUGUUUAAAGCUAUCCAGCCGGAGGAACUAGCCAGCUGUGGAUGGAGUAAGAAGGAGAAACACAGUCUUGCCCCUAACGUUGUGGCCUUUACCCGGAGGUUUAACCAGGUCAGUUUUUGGGUUGUACGAGAAAUUCUAACAGCACAGACUUUAAAAAUAAGGGCAGAAAUCCUCAGCCAUUUUGUGAAAAUAGCCAAGAAACUUCUAGAACUCAACAACCUUCAUUCUCUCAUGUCUGUGGUAUCAGCAUUACAAAGUGCUCCCAUCUUCAGGCUGACAAAAACCUGGGCUCUUUUAAAUCGAAAAGACAAGACUACCUUUGAGAAAUUGGACUACCUGAUGUCGAAAGAAGAUAAUUACAAGCGGACACGGGAAUAUAUCCGGAGCCUGAAGAUGGUUCCAAGUAUUCCCUAUCUAGGUAGGAGUUUGAAUUGGCUUAUUAUUUUUUAAGAAACCUACUCAGUGCCAAAUAAGAUGUUUUUACAGUUUCUACCUGAAAAAUUUCCAGGAAGCGACAUGGCCCGUAGAUAAAGAGGCAAUUGGUUGGCUCUUUGGGUUGGAACAGGCUGUUGGUACUUCCCAAGGUUGGAAACCUGGAUUAGGGUGAUAUACAAGUGAUGUUCUGCUUUUUAUAUAAAAGACCUGUGGGCCCCAGGGUUCCCCAGGCUGCAGCCCAGAUGGGUCACAAUGAGAGUGAUAAGACUCUUACUGGUUCAUCCACAUCCUCCUGAACUGGGGCAUGUCAGGCACAAACCCUCUGUUCUGGUUCUCUGGGCAUUAUUAGUAUAUUUCAUAUUUGUACAAAUAAAAUUAUAGUAAUGUUUAUUAUAUUUUCUGGUUAGAAAAUAAUGCAUGUUAAUUGUAAGGAAUUAGAGAAAAAAGUUAAUAUCUUUUGUUAUCUCACCUAAAGAUAUUUGCUUCAUAUCUUAUUGAUUUGGGCAUAUCUAAAAUAUGUAUGCUUACUCUAUCCUAAAAAUGUUAUUUUUAUCUUAAAAAUUUUAUCUACUUUUCGAUGCUAUGACUCAUUCCCAUCAGAUGGAUUUGUCAAACUCGAAUCUGCUCUCCA